rnacentral:rRNA from 1 species
AGAGUUUGAUCCUGGCUCAGAUUGAACGCUGGCGGCAUGCCUUACACAUGCAAGUCGAACGGCAGCACGGGUGCUUGCACCUGGUGGCGAGUGGCGAACGGGUGAGUAAUACAUCGGAACAUGUCCUGUAGUGGGGGAUAGCCCGGCGAAAGCCGGAUUAAUACCGCAUACGAUCUACGGAUGAAAGCGGGGGACCUUCGGGCCUCGCGCUAUAGGGUUGGCCGAUGGCUGAUUAGCUAGUUGGUGGGGUAAAGGCCUACCAAGGCGACGAUCAGUAGCUGGUCUGAGAGGACGACCAGCCACACUGGGACUGAGACACGGCCCAGACUCCUACGGGAGGCAGCAGUGGGGAAUUUUGGACAAUGGGCGAAAGCCUGAUCCAGCAAUGCCGCGUGUGUGAAGAAGGCCUUCGGGUUGUAAAGCACUUUUGUCCGGAAAGAAAUCCUUGGCUCUAAUACAGUCGGGGGAUGACGGUACCGGAAGAAUAAGCACCGGCUAACUACGUGCCAGCAGCCGCGGUAAUACGUAGGGUGCGAGCGUUAAUCGGAAUUACUGGGCGUAAAGCGUGCGCAGGCGGUUUGCUAAGACCGAUGUGAAAUCCCCGGGCUCAACCUGGGAACUGCAUUGGUGACUGGCAGGCUAGAGUAUGGCAGAGGGGGGUAGAAUUCCACGUGUAGCAGUGAAAUGCGUAGAGAUGUGGAGGAAUACCGAUGGCGAAGGCAGCCCCCUGGGCCAAUACUGACGCUCAUGCACGAAAGCGUGGGGAGCAAACAGGAUUAGAUACCCUGGUAGUCCACGCCCUAAACGAUGUCAACUAGUUGUUGGGGAUUCAUUUCCUUAGUAACGUAGCUAACGCGUGAAGUUGACCGCCUGGGGAGUACGGUCGCAAGAUUAAAACUCAAAGGAAUUGACGGGGACCCGCACAAGCGGUGGAUGAUGUGGAUUAAUUCGAUGCAACGCGAAAAACCUUACCUACCCUUGACAUGGUCGGAAUCCCGCUGAGAGGUGGGAGUGCUCGAAAGAGAACCGAUACACAGGUGCUGCAUGGCUGUCGUCAGCUCGUGUCGUGAGAUGUUGGGUUAAGUCCCGCAACGAGCGCAACCCUUGUCCUUAGUUGCUACGCAAGAGCACUCUAAGGAGACUGCCGGUGACAAACCGGAGGAAGGUGGGGAUGACGUCAAGUCCUCAUGGCCCUUAUGGGUAGGGCUUCACACGUCAUACAAUGGUCGGAACAGAGGGUUGCCAACCCGCGAGGGGGAGCUAAUCCCAGAAAACCGAUCGUAGUCCGGAUUGCACUCUGCAACUCGAG